rnacentral:rRNA from 1 species
GGCCAGCAGCCGCGGUAAUACGGAGGGUGCAAGCGUUAAUCGGAAUUACUGGGCGUAAAGCGUGCGUAGGCGGUGAUUUAAGUCAGAUGUGAAAGCCCCGGGCUUAACCUGGGAACUGCAUUUGAUACUGGGUCACUAGAGUUUGGUAGAGGGGAGUGGAAUUUCCGGUGUAGCGGUGAAAUGCGUAGAUAUCGGAAGGAACACCAGUGGCGAAGGCGGCUCUCUGGACCAAAACUGACGCUGAGGUACGAAAGCGUGGGUAGCAAACAGGAUUAGAUACCCUGGUAGUCCACGCCGUAAACGAUGUCAACUAGCCGUUGGAUCUGUCAAAAGAUUUAGUGGCGCAGCUAACGCAAUAAGUUGACCGCCUGGGGAGUACGGCCGCAAGGUUAAAACUCAAAUGAAUUGACGGGGGCCCGCACA